UACAGAGGUCCCAAGCGUUGUUCGGAUUCACUGGGCGUAAAGGGUGCGUAGGCGGUCGGGUAAGUCUGAUGUGAAAUCUCACAGCUUAACUGUGAAACUGCAUUGGAUACUAUCCGGCUCGAGGAAUGGAGGGGAGACUGGAAUACUUGGGUGUAGCAGUGAAAUGCGUAGAUAUCAAGUGGAACACCAGUGGCGAAGGCGAGUCUCUGGACAUUUUCCUGACGCUGAGGCACGAAAGCCAGGGGAGCAAACGGG
rnacentral:rRNA from 1 species